rnacentral:rRNA from 1 species
GAUGAACGCUGGCGGCGUGCCUAAUACAUGCAAGUCGAGCGAACAGACGAGGAGCUUGCUCCUUUGACGUUAGCGGCGGACGGGUGAGUAACACGUGGGUAACCUACCUAUAAGACUGGGAUAACUUCGGGAAACCGGAGCUAAUACCGGAUAAUAUUUCGAACCGCAUGGUUCGAUAGUGAAAGAUGGCUUUGCUAUUACUUAUAGAUGGACCUGCGCCGUAUUAGCUAGUUGGUAAGGUAACGGCUUACCAAGGCAACGAUACGUAGCCGACCUGAGAGGGUGAUCGGCCACACUGGAACUGAGACACGGUCCAGACUCCUACGGGAGGCAGCAGUAGGGAAUCUUCCGCAAUGGGCGAAAGCCCGACGGAGCAACGCCGCGUGAGUGAUGAAGGUCUUCGGAUCGUAAAACUCUGUUAUUAGGGAAGAACAAACGUGUAAGUAACUGUGCACGUCUUGACGGUACCUAAUCAGAAAGCCACGGCUAACUACGUGCCAGCAGCCGCGGUAAUACGUAGGUGGCAAGCGUUAUCCGGAAUUAUUGGGCGUAAAGCGCGCGUAGGCGGUUUUUUAAGUCUGAUGUGAAAGCCCACGGCUCAACCGUGGAGGGUCAUUGGAAACUGGAAAACUUGAGUGCAGAAGAGGAAAGUGGAAUUCCAUGUGUAGCGGUGAAAUGCGCAGAGAUAUGGAGGAACACCAGUGGCGAAGGCGACUUUCUGGUCUGUAACUGACGCUGAUGUGCGAAAGCGUGGGGAUCAAACAGGAUUAGAUACCCUGGUAGUCCACGCCGUAAACGAUGAGUGCUAAGUGUUAGGGGGUUUCCGCCCCUUAGUGCUGCAGCUAACGCAUUAAGCACUCCGCCUGGGGAGUACGACCGCAAGGUUGAAACUCAAAGGAAUUGACGGGGACCCGCACAAGCGGUGGAGCAUGUGGUUUAGUUCGAAGCAACGCGAAGAACCUUACCAAAUCUUGACAUCCUUUGACCCUUCUAGAGAUAGAAGUUUCCCCUUCGGGGGACAAAGUGACAGGUGGUGCAUGGUUGUCGUCAGCUCGUGUCGUGAGAUGUUGGGUUAAGUCCCGCAACGAGCGCAACCCUUAAGCUUAGUUGCCAUCAUUAAGUUGGGCACUCUAAGUUGACUGCCGGUGACAAACCGGAGGAAGGUGGGGAUGACGUCAAAUCAUCAUGCCCCUUAUGAUUUGGGCUACACACGUGCUACAAUGGACAAUACAAAGGGCAGCGAAACCGCGAGGUCAAGCAAAUCCCAUAAAGUUGUUCUCAGUUCGGAUUGUAGUCUGCAACUCGACUACAUGAAGCUGGAAUCGCUAGUAAUCGUAGAUCAGCAUGCUACGGUGAAUACGUUCCCGGGUCU